GAUGAACGCUGGCGGCGUGCCUAAUACAUGCAAGUCGAGCGAACGGACGAUAAGCUUGCUUCUCUGAUGUUAGCGGCGGACGGGUGAGUAACACGUGGAUAACCUACCUAUAAUACUGGGAUAACUUCGGGAAACCGUAUCUAAUACCGGAUAAUAUUUUGAACCUCAUUGUUCAAAAGUGAAAGACGGUCUUGCUGUCACUUAUAGAUGGAUCCGCGCUUCAUUAGCUAGUUGGUAAGGUAACGGCUUACCAAGGCAACGAUGCAUAGCCGACCUGAGAGGGUGAUCGGCCACACUGGAACUGAGACACGGUCCAGACUCCUACGGGAGGCAGCAGUAGGGAAUCUUCCGCAAUGGGCGAAAGCCUGACGGAGCAACGCCGCGUGAGUGAUGAAGGUCUUCGGAUCGUAAAACUCUGUUAUUAGGGAAGAACAUAUGUGUAAGUAACUGUGCACAUCUUGACGGUACCUAAUCAGAAAGCCACGGCUAACUACGUG
rnacentral:rRNA from 1 species